GUGCAAUGGCGGCAGCUACCAUGCAGUCGUACGAGAAGGUUCCUUCGGGAACUGGAGAGUGGCGCACGGGUGAGUAACGCGUGGGGACCUACCUCUUAGUGGGGGAUAACGGUUGGAAACGACCGCUAAUACCGCAUACGCCCUUCGGGGGAAAGAUUUAUCGCUAAGAGAUGGACCCGCGUUGGAUUAGAUAGUUGGUGAGGUAACGGCUCACCAAGUCAGCGAUCCAUAGCUGGUUUGAGAGGAUGAUCAGCCACACUGGGACUGAGACACGGCCCAGACUCCUACGGGAGGCAGCAGUGGGGAAUAUUGGACAAUGGGCGCAAGCCUGAUCCAGCCAUGCCGCGUGAGUGAAGAAGGCCUUCGGGUUGUAAAGCUCUUUCAGAUGCGAAGAUGAUGACGGUAACAUCAGAAGAAGCCCCGGCUAAUUUCGUGCCAGCAGCCGCGGUAAUACGAAAGGGGCAAGCGUUGUUCGGAUUUACUGGGCGUAAAGGGCACGCAGGCGGUCCUGCCAGUCAGGGGUGAAAGCCCGGGGCUCAACCCCGGAACUGCCUCUGAUACUGCAGGACUAGAGACUAGGAGAGGGUGGUGGAAUUCCCAGUGUAGAGGUGAAAUUCGUAGAUAUUGGGAGGAACACCAGAGGCGAAGGCGGCCACCUGGACUAGAUCUGACGCUCAGGUGCGAAAGCGUGGGGAGCAAACAGGAUUAGAUAUCUGGGGUAGUCA
rnacentral:rRNA from 1 species